UACGUAGGGGGCAAGCGUUGUCCGGAAUCAUUGGGCGUAAAGCGCGUGUAGGCGGCUCGGUAAGUCUGCUGUGAAAGUCCAGGGCUCAACCCUGGGAUGCCGGUGGAUACUGUCGGGCUAGAGUCCGGAAGAGGCGAGUGGAAUUCCUGGUGUAGCGGUGGAAUGCGCAGAUAUCAGGAGGAACACCGAUGGCGAAGGCAGCUCGCUGGGACGGUACUGACGCUGAGGCGCGAAAGCGUGGGGAGCGAACAGG
rnacentral:rRNA from 1 species